rnacentral:rRNA from 1 species
UACAGGGGGGGCAAGCGUUGUUCGGAAUUACUGGGCGUAAAGGGUUCGUAGGUGGCCACUUAAGUCAGACGUGAAAUCCCUCGGCUCAACCGGGGAACGACGCAUGAAACUGACAAGCUAGAGUACCAAAGAGGGGGGUGGAAUUCCCGGUGUAGCGGUGAAAUGCGUAGAGAUGCGGAGGAACACCGAUGGCGAAGGCAGCCCCCUGGGCUGACACUGACGCUCAGGCACGAAAGCGUGGGGAGCAAACAGG